CCUACGGGUGGCUGCAGUGAGGAAUAUUGGUCAAUGGACGAGAGUCUGAACCAGCCAAGUAGCGUGAAGGAUGACUGCCCUAUGGGUUGUAAACUUCUUUUAUAUGGGAAUAAAAUGUUCCACGUGUGGGAUUUUGUAUGUACCAUAUGAAUAAGGAUCGGCUAACUCCGUGCCAGCAGCCGCGGUAAUACGGAGGAUCCGAGCGUUAUCCGGAUUUAUUGGGUUUAAAGGGAUCGUAGGUGGAUUGUUAAGUCAGUUGUGAAAGUUUGCGGCUCAACCGUAAAAUUGCAGUUGAAACUGGCAGUCUUGAGUACAGUAGAGGUGGGCGGAAGUCGUGGUGUAGCGGUGAAAUGCUUAGAUAUCACGAAGAACUCCGAUUGCGAAGGCAGUUCACUGGACUGCAACUGACACUGAGGCUCGAAAGUGUGGGUAUCAAACAGGAUUAGAUACCCGAGUAGUC
rnacentral:rRNA from 1 species